AUUGAACGCUGGCGGCAGGCCUAACACAUGCAAGUCGAGCGGAUGACGGGAGCUUGCUCCUUGAUUCAGCGGCGGACGGGUGAGUAAUGCCUAGGAAUCUGCCUGGUAGUGGGGGACAACGUUUCGAAAGGAACGCUAAUACCGCAUACGUCCCACGGGAGAAAGCAGGGGACCUUCGGGCCUUGCGCUCUCAGAUGAGCCUAGGUCGGAUUAGCUAGUUGGUGGGGUAAUGGCUCACCAAGGCGACGAUCCGUAACUGGUCUGAGAGGAUGAUCAGUCACACUGGAACUGAGACACGGUCCAGACUCCUACGGGAGGCAGCAGUGGGGAAUAUUGGACAAUGGGCGAAAGCCUGAUCCAGCCAUGCCGCGUGUGUGAAGAAGGUCUUCGGAUUGUAAAGCACUUUAAGUUGGGAGGAAGGGCAGUAAGCUAAUACCUUGCUGUUUUGACGUUACAGACAGAAUAAGCACCGGCUAACUCUGUGCCAGCCGCCGCCGUAA
rnacentral:rRNA from 1 species